GGAACGGCUGUGGCUCAGUGGGAGAGCAUCUGCUUGGCGUGCAGGUGGUCACAGGUUCGAUCCUCGGCACCUCCA
rnacentral:tRNA from 1 species